GCGCAGCAGGCGCGAAAACUCCACAAUGUACGGAAGUACGAUGGGGUUAUCUCGAGUGCAGUCCGAUAAGGGCUGCUUUUCCAUAGAGUAAUAUCCUGUGGGAAUAAGAGGGGGGCAAGACUGGUGUCAGCCGCCGCGGUAACACCAGCCCCUCGAGUGGUGGGGACUAUUAUUUGGCCUAAAGCGUCCGUAGCUGGCUGUAUCCGUCCCCCGUUAAAUCCAGCGUCCUAAGCGUUGGACUGCGGGUGAUACCAUACAGCUAGAGGGUGGGAUAGGUGAGCGGUAUUUCUGGGGUAGGGGCGAAAUCCUUUGAUCCCAGGAGGACCACCAGUGGCGAAGGCUGCUCACUAGAACACGCCUGACGGUCAGGGACGAAAGCUGGGGCAGCGAACCGGAUUAGAUACCCGGGUAGUCCCAGCUGUAAACGAUGCUAGCUAGGUGUUGGGUCGGCCACGUGCCGCCCCAGUGCCGCAGGGAAGCCGUUAAGCUAGCCGCCUGGGGAGUACGGCCGCAAGGCUGAAACUUAAAGGAAUUGGCGGGGGAGCAC
rnacentral:rRNA from 1 species